rnacentral:rRNA from 1 species
ACACGUGAUUCAGAGUUUGAUCCUGGCUCAGGAUAAACGCUGGCGGCGUGCAUAACACAUGCAAGUCGAACGAUGAAGCUUAAAUGAUCUCUUCGGAGUGACCUUAAGUGGAUUAGUGGCGGACGGGUGAGUAACGCGUGAGUAACCUGCCUUGCACAAGGGGAUAGCCGUUGGAAACGACGAAUAAUACCCUAUGAUAUGAUAGUCUCGCAUGAGAUUAUCAUCAAAGAUUUAUCGGUGUAAGAUGGACUCGCGUCUGAUUAGCUAGUUGGUGGGGUAACUGAUCACCAAGGCAACGAUCAGUAGCCGGCUUGAGAGAGUGUACGGCCACAUUGGGACUGAGACACGGCCCAG